UUUCAGCUUGCUGCUGAGAUUCUAGAAGGCCUUUUGGAAGAAGACGAUGAAGUGAUACAGGUUUGGUAUCUGCUGGGAUGGGUCUGUUAUCUCCAAGCCAAGGAGCCCGAAGAGGAGGAAGCUUUCAAGGACUCUGCCAGGACAUAUCUGAGGAAAGCCAAAAAGCUCUACGUAAAGCUGCAAUGUGAUGACUCGCCACUCAUAGAGCAUGUCGAUCAGUUACUCAGUGAACUGGGUGGGGACGAUCUGCAGCAAGAUUCUGAAACUGAAGACGCCCCGGUGGAGAAUAUUGAUGAUGAUUUUGUCCAAAGUAGCGAAGAUGAAGCAAUGGAGUCUUGAAAUGCAUAUCUUUAAUAAUAAAUACAUUUUGAUUAGUAAA